rnacentral:misc_RNA from 1 species
GGUCCGUUGGAUUCUUACGAUCAUCCCGAUCUAGCAUUUGCCGCAAGUGUUUAAGACGUGGCCAAAAUCCAACAUUCGCCGUUUUUUACUUGGUCUCGGUCUGCAGGUUAAACGGUUUAGUCGAUGCCGGAGCCGCGGACGCAGGACGCGGUUACGAAGAACGGACCUUCGAUCCUCGAGGUCGUUAUUGUUCCCUGGAUGCGUGAACGAGGCAGGACUUUGUGUGAAAACGGGAAGUUCGAGGGCUGACUCACGGUCAGGCUAAAGCCGCUUGGAUUUUUUUUUUCACGACCUGCGAGAGAAUUUCGUCGCCUAACUGUGUUGGCAGAAAGGGAAGAAAAAAAUCUGCCGAUGACUUAGCCUAAGGGCCCAGGUAUGCGGACGGAGUCCCUUUCAAGUUAUGCGUUAGCAGAAUAUCAGCGGACGAUGGAGGAUUUCUCUAAAGAGUAACGAGGAACGAACGUCCGAUGCACCUCGAAACACUGUCCUGUCGGUAUGGUUGGUAUUACACACACAAACGGAGCCGGCACUGAAGCAUGGCGGCCAUCUUUGCUGGAUAAUUCCAUGUAGGUGAUGUAGGUACACUCAAAGAGAGCAGCGCGCGUUCCCUGUUCGUAAACUGUCGUAGACCCCGAAGAAGAAAACAGAUGCAGCGUGUAACGUGCGCCCUACGUCAUCCUGAUAAAAUUUGGUCAAUAAAUUAUCGUCGACUACAAUUAUGUACACCCUUUUUUCUUUUCGUCUUUUCACACAUUCGAGAGUAAAAAAACCGUUGCAAGAUUCGAAUACCGUAUCAGUUUUAUCAUUUUGUAUCCUAGUGUGGGGAUUAGGUUCUUGGAUCGUAGAAGAGAGCCAAUAGCUUGACUAGUCAAACCUCUAUGAGAGAGAUGGAAAUAAAUCUACGAGAAUCACGUGCAUGUACUCUGCUCUUUGAUUUUAAGUUUACAUCCGCGACGCUGUCAGAGUCGUUUGAUUGUCUGAGAAAAAAUUUCCAACGAUUCGAAUGAUUUGCAUCCCGUUAUUGGUCGGUUUCUUUUGUUUUUGAAAGCUAGUACGGACGAGCCCGUCUAAAACUUAAAAUCAUAAUCCUGCAGCUGUAACGAAGAAGCUAAUCGACGACCACUUACUACGGUCAUUCAUAUUGCGAUAUAGUAUAGUUAUCUUUAUGAUACAUUUUACGAAUGUUUAAAUGUACACGUGUAAUGUUUGUUUUUUCUUACAACCUUGACCGCAAUAAAAAUAGCUAUUAAAAAAUAUGUUGCGUUAU